AACGAACGCUGGCGGCAUGCCUAACACAUGCAAGUCGAACGAGACCUUCGGGUCUAGUGGCGCACGGGUGCGUAACGCGUGGGAACCUGCCCUUAGGUUCGGAAUAACUCCCCGAAAGGGGUGCUAAUACCGGAUAAUGUCUUCGGACCAAAGAUUUAUCGCCUUUGGAUGGGGCCGCGUUGGAUUAGCUAGUUGGUAGGGUAAAAGCCUACCAAGGCGACGAUCCAUAGCUGGUCUGAGAGGAUGAUCAGCCACACUGGGACUGAGACACGGCCCAGACUCCUACGGGAAGCAGCAGUGGGGAAUAUUGGACAAUGGGCGAAAGCCUGAUCCAGCAAGGCCGCGUGAGUGAUGAAGGCCUUAGGGUUGUAAAGCUCUUUUACCCGGGAUGAUAAUGACAGUACCGGGAGAAUAAGCACCGGCUAACUCCGUG
rnacentral:rRNA from 1 species